CAAGCAGCCGAUGAAUUGGAUUAGGGUGUGAUGUGUGCACACAGUGGAUGUGGGAACAAAAAAAUAAUUUCUCCGCUGAUGGGAUCUACUCAAGCCAGGAGGAUCCGCCAGCGUCUGAGCAGAGCUUCCACAGCAUCUGUUAGUCUUGUGGCAUCAGGCUCCGAGCAUUUUGCAGCAAUUUCUUUACCCGACUGGCGCAACAGGCUCAUACUCCUGUGCUUUGUGGCAAAUCAGCGGCAGUGAGAUCUUCUUCUGCCCUGGCAGUUAGUAGGGUGUGCACGCGAGUUAGCCACUGCAUAGCUGACAAAAUGCAAGCCUCCCAGUUCUGGGCCUCGCUUAUUGAGUUUUCGAGCAAUCGGGUACGCUCUCGCGCCUGCAGUGGCAUGCAAAAGCAUCAUAGCAAAGAUUCAAAAGCACGUAAAUAAAUAAGAAUUUGGCAGAAAAUGAACAGAGGAUUCAAAGUGAAAAAUGAACACUACUGAUACCUUCUGGCUGAGUUGGCUCCAACGGGCGGUCAGACCCUCAGCUUCGGCCUGCACGAUGCUAGGCAUCACAUCCACGUCUGACAACUCUUUGGCUAAACACUGAAUGCGUGCAAGACGCGCCUCCGGGUGAUUUCGAAUGUAAUUCUCCAAAUCCUGGUUGUGUAUUAAAAUCAGCAUAACAAGCAAGGUUUUAGUGACUUUAAUACAAAAAAAUUAUCUGAUGCCACUUUUUUUGUUUAAAUCAAUAACAUUUUAAG